UGGAUACCCAUGAAGUUUGAAACACUUAUCAAUUAAGUGUCCAGACUUCUUACAGUAUCUACAGAACAACGACCCUCUACCUUGAUCAGACCCUCUACCUUGAUCAAAGUUGACUCUUUGUUUGAAGGAAGAGGAAGUAUUACGCAUUGCAGCCUUAUUAGAGUCAACUGGCUUCCUGUUAGAGUAGGCAUUAAAAGAUACAGAAUCCGGAUUAAAAUGAGAGGGAGACUGAAUAUGCCUNNN
rnacentral:lncRNA from 1 species